AUUGAACGCUGGCGGAAUGCUUUACACAUGCAAGUCGAACGGUAGAGGGGGCAACCCCUUGAGAGUGGCGAACGGGUGAGUAAUAUAUCGGAACGUGCCCAGUCGUGGGGAUAACGUAGCGAAAGCUACGCUAAUACCGCAUACGAUCUAUGGAUGAAAGCGGGGGAUCGCAAGACCUCGCGUGAUUGGAGCGGCCGAUAUCAGAUUAGGUAGUUGGUGAGGUAAAGGCUCACCAAGCCGACGAUCUGUAGCUGGUCUGAGAGGACGACCAGCCACACUGGGACUGAGACACGGCCCAGACUCCUACGGGAGGCAGCAGUGGGGAAUUUUGGACAAUGGGCGCAAGCCUGAUCCAGCAAUGCCGCGUGCAGGAUGAAGGCCUCGG
rnacentral:rRNA from 1 species